CAGCCUGCCCAGUGACAAAGUUCAACGGCCGCGGUACCCUAACCGUGCGAAGGUAGCAUAAUCACUUGUUCUUUAAAUGAGGACUCGUAUCAACGGCACUACGAGGGCUAUACUGUCUCCUUUUUCUAAUCAGUGAAACUGAUCUCCCCGUGAAGAAGCGGGGAUCAAAAUAUAAGACGAGAAGACCCCAUGGAGCUUUAAACUCACCACGCACCUCUGUGUCCUCAUACCCUUAAACACAAGAGAUCUACGUGCUAGUUUUAGGUUGGGGGGACCACGGAGUAUAACUUAACCUCCAUAACAAAUGGGCUAACACCCUUAUCCAUGAGACACAGCUCUAAGAAUUACUAAACUAAUGCUUAUGACCCGAUAUUCGAUCAAUGAACCAAGUUACCCUGGGGAUAACAGCGCAAUCUACUUCAAGAACCCAUAUCGACAAGUAGGUUUACGACCUCCAUGUUGGAUCAGGGUAUCCCGGUGGUGCAACCGCUACCGAUGGUUCGUUUGUUCAACGAUUAAAACCCUACGUGAUCUGANAUGGCCUAGCCAGUCUACCCAAGCAAAAUGUAACUUUCAGUUUGAUACCCCGAAACCAAGCGAGCUACUUCAGAACAGCCAAAAGGGCCAACCCGUCUCUGUUGCAAAAGAGUGGGAAGAUUCUCAAGUAGAGGUGACAAGCCUACCGAGCUUGGAGAUAGCUGGUUGUUCAGAAAAAGAGUUUUAGCUCUACCUUAAGUUUUCUCAUUAAACUAAACAAACCCCAAAACUUAAGAGCUAUUCAAAUAAGGCACAGCUUAUUUGAAAUAGGGCACAGCCUACAACAUAGGGUAAACAAGAGUAACUUAAAUAAAGUAGGCCUAAAAGCAGCCACCUUUAAAAAAGCGUCAAAGCUUAACCACUCCCUACUCACAAUACCUUAAAUUUUCACUAACCCCUCACUAUUACUGAAUAAUUUUAUAAUUAUAUAAAAGCUAUCAUGCUAGAACUAGUAACAAGAAAUUGCCUUUCUCCUAAAUGUAAACAUAAACCAAAAUAGACUAUCUAUUGGUUAUUAACGUAAAUGCCAAAUUAUAGCAACAUCCUCCAGAAAAUCCUAUAGCCCCCAACGUUAACCUUACACUAGAACAUUUCAGGAAAGAUUUAAAGAAAAAGAAGGAACUCGGCG
rnacentral:rRNA from 1 species